UCGACGUUUCAGCCACACUACAUGGCUUUCAUCAGGAUCUUUACAGCUCAAAAACCUUUUUGAGCUGUAAAGAUCCUGAUGAAAGCCAUGUAGUGUGGCUGAAACGU